GAUGAACGCUAGCUACAGGCUUAACACAUGCAAGUCGAGGGGAAACGAUAUUGGAAGCUUGCUUCCGAUAGGCGUCGACCGGCGCACGGGUGGGUAACGCGUAUCCAACCUGCCCAUCACUUGGGGAUAACCUUGCGAAAGUAGACUAAUACCCAAUGAUAUCUCUAGAAGACAUCUGAAAUGGAUUAAAGAUUUAUCGGUGAUGGAUGGGGAUGCGUCUGAGUAGCUUGUUGGCGGGGUUACGGCCAACCAAGGCGCCGAUCAGUAGGGGUUCUGCGUGGAAGGUCCCCCACAUUGGAACUGAUACACGGUCCAAACUCCUACGGGAGGCAGCAGUGAGGAGUAUUGGUCAAUGGGCGAGAGCCUGAACCAGCCAAGUAGCGUGCAGGAUGACGGCCCUAUGGGUUGUAAACUGCUUUUAUAAGGGAAUAAAGUGGGAGUCGUGACUCCUUUUGCAUGUACCUUAUGAAUAAGGACCGGCUAAUUCCGUGCCAGCCGCCGCAGUAA
rnacentral:rRNA from 1 species